AUUCCUACGGGAGGCAGCAGUGAGGAAUAUUGGUCAAUGGCCGGGAGGCUGAACCAGCCAAGCCGCGUGAAGGACGACGGUGCCAUGCAUUGUAAACUUCUUUUGUCAAGGGACAAAAUCAGGCUCGUGAGCCGGACCGCGGGUACUUGAAGAAAAAGCAUCGGCUAACUCCGUGCCAGCAGCCGCGGUAAUACGGAGGAUGCGAGCGUUAUCCGGAUUUAUUGGGUUUAAAGGGUGCGUAGGCGGACUGUUAAGUCAGCGGUAAAA
rnacentral:rRNA from 1 species